GAGUUUGAUCCUGGCUCAGGAUGAACGCUAGCGAUAGGCCUAACACAUGCAAGUCGAGGGGCAUCACAUGAAGUAGCAAUACGGAUGGUGGCGACCGGCGCACGGGUGAGUAACACGUAUGCAACCUGCCUUCGACAAGGGGAUAACCCGUUGAAAGACGGACUAAUACCCUAUAACACAGGGGUCCCGCAUGGGAAUAUUUGUUAAAGGACAACCGGUUGAAGAUGGGCAUGCGUUCCAUUAGCUAGUUGGCGGGGUAACGGCCCACCAAGGCAACGAUGGAUAGGGGAACUGAGAGGUUUAUCCCCCACACUGGUACUGAGACACGGACCAGACUCCUACGGGAGGCAGCAGUGAGGAAUAUUGGUCAAUGGACGCAAGUCUGAACCAGCCACGUCGCGUGAAGGAAGACGGCCCUACGGGUUGUAAACUUCUUUUAUACGGGAAUAAAGUGCCCCACGCGUGGGGUUUUGCAUGUACCGUAUGAAUAAGGAUCGGCUAACUCCGUGCCAGCAGCCGCGGUAAUACGGAGGAUCCGAGCGUUAUCCGGAUUUAUUGGGUUUAAAGGGUGCUCAGGCGGGGGAUUACGUCGGCGGUGAAAUUUUGCAGCUCAACUGUAAAAGUGCCUUCGAAACUGGUUUCCUUGAGUGUGGAUGAGGUAGGCGGAAUUUGUGGUGUAGCGGUGAAAUGCAUAGAUAUCACGAGGAACUCCGAUUGCGCAGGCAGCUUACUNAACCAUAACUGACGCUCAAGCACGAAGGCGUGGGGAUCAAACAGGAUUAGAUACCCUGGUAGUCCACGCAGUAAACGAUGAUUACUGGCUGUUUGCGAUAUAAUGUAAGCGGCUGAGCGAAAGCGUUAAGUAAUCCACCUGGGGAGUACGUUCGCAAGAAUGAAACUCAAAGGAAU
rnacentral:rRNA from 1 species